GACGAACGCUGGCGGCGUGCUUAACACAUGCAAGUCGAACGGAAAGGCCCUGCUUUUGUGGGGUGCUCGAGUGGCGAACGGGUGAGUAACACGUGAGUAACCUGCCCUUGACUUUGGGAUAACUUCAGGAAACUGGGGCUAAUACCGGAUAGGAGCUCCUGCUGCAUGGUGGGGGUUGGAAAGUUUCGGCGGUUGGGGAUGGACUCGCGGCUUAUCAGCUUGUUGGUGGGGUAGUGGCUUACCAAGGCUUUGACGGGUAGCCGGCCUGAGAGGGUGACCGGCCACAUUGGGACUGAGAUACGGCCCAGACUCCUACGGGAGGCAGCAGUGGGGAAUAUUGCACAAUGGGCGGAAGCCUGAUGCAGCAACGCCGCGUGCGGGAUGACGGCCUUCGGGUUGUAAACCGCUUUCGCCUGUGACGAAGCGUGAGUGACGGUAAUGGGUAAAGAAGCACCGGCUAACUACGUGCCAGCAGCCGCGGUGAUACGUAGGGUGCGAGCGUUGUCCGGAUUUAUUGGGCGUAAAGGGCUCGUAGGUGGUUGAUCGCGUCGGAAGUGUAAUCUUGGGGCUUAACCCUGAGCGUGCUUUCGAUACGGGUUGACUUGAGGAAGGUAGGGGAGAAUGGAAUUCCUGGUGGAGCGGUGGAAUGCGCAGAUAUCAGGAGGAACACCAGUGGCGAAGGCGGUUCUCUGGGCCUUUCCUGACGCUGAGGAGCGAAAGCGUGGGGAGCGAACAGGCUUAGAUACCCUGGUAGUCCACGCUGUAAACGGUGGGUACUAGGUGUGGGGUCCAUUCCACGGGUUCCGUGCCGUAGCUAACGCUUUAAGUACCCCGCCUGGGGAGUACGGCCGCAAGGCUAAAACUCAAAGGAAUUGACGGGGCCCCGCACAAGCGGCGGAGCAUGCGGAUUAAUUCGAUGCAACGCGUAGAACCUUACCUGGGUUUGACAUGGAUCGGGAGUGCUCAGAGAUGGGUGUGCCUCUUUUGGGGUCGGUUCACAGGUGGUGCAUGGCUGUCGUCAGCUCGUGUCGUGAGAUGUUGGGUUAAGUCCCGCAACGAGCGCAACCCUUGUUCACUGUUGCCAGCACGUUAUGGUGGGGACUCAGUGGAGACCGCCGGGGUCAACUCGGAGGAAGGUGGGGAUGACGUCAAGUCAUCAUGCCCCUUAUGUCCAGGGCUUCACGCAUGCUACAAUGGCUGGUACAGAGAGUGGCGAGCCUGUGAGGGUGAGCGAAUCUCGGAAAGCCGGUCUCAGUUCGGAUUGGGGUCUGCAACUCGACUUCAUGAAGUCGGAGUCGCUAGUAAUCGCAGAUCAGCAACGCUGCGGUGAAUACGUUCCCGGG
rnacentral:rRNA from 1 species